rnacentral:rRNA from 1 species
GACGAACGCUGGCGGCGUGCCUAAUACAUGCAAGUAGAACGCUGAAGGAGGAGCUUGCUCUUCUUGGAUGAGUUGCGAACGGGUGAGUAACGCGUAGGUAACCUGCCUGGUAGCGGGGGAUAACUAUUGGAAACGAUAGCUAAUACCGCAUAAGAGUAGAUGUUGCAUGACAUUUGCUUAAAAGGUGCAAAUGCAUCACUACCAGAUGGACCUGCGUUGUAUUAGCUAGUUGGUGAGGUAACGGCUCACCAAGGCAACGAUACAUAGCCGACCUGAGAGGGUGAUCGGCCACACUGGGACUGAGACACGGCCCAGACUCCUACGGGAGGCAGCAGUAGGGAAUCUUCGGCAAUGGACGGAAGUCUGACCGAGCAACGCCGCGUGAGUGAAGAAGGUUUUCGGAUCGUAAAGCUCUGUUGUAAGAGAAGAACGAGUGUGAGAGGGAAAGUUCACA